rnacentral:tRNA from 1 species
GCCCCAGUAGCUCAAUGGUCGAGCUCAUGUAUGUGAGAGCGAAAGCGCCUAAGCAAUAACUACGAGGAGGUCGCAGGUCGAAUCCUGCCCGGUGGCU